rnacentral:rRNA from 1 species
CGGGAAAAGCUCAAAUUUAAAAUCUGGCAGUCUCUGGCUGUCCGAAUUGUAAUCUAGAGAAGUGUUACCCGCGCUGGACCGUGUACAAGUCUCCUGGAAUGGAGCGUCAUAGAGGGUGAGAAUCCCGUCUUUGACACGGACUACCAGGGCUGUGUGGUAUGCUCUCAAA